UGGCAAGGUUAAGCGAAUGCGAAGCCGUAGCGAAAGCGAGUCUUAAUAGGGCGAACAAGUCAGAUGCUGCAGACCCGAAGCUAAGUGAUCUAUCCAUGGCCAAGUUGAAACGCGUGUAAUAGUGCGUGGAGGACUGAACUCGUACCCAUUGAAACGGGUUGGGAUGAGCUGUGGAUAGGGGUGAAAGGCCAAACAAACUUAGUGAUAGCUGGUUCUCUUCGAAAUAUAUUUAGGUAUAGCCUCAA
rnacentral:rRNA from 1 species